rnacentral:rRNA from 1 species
CCUACGGGUCGCACCAGUGGGGAAUAUUGCACAAUGGGCGCAAGCCUGAUGCAGCCAUGCCGCGUGUAUGAAGAAAGCCUUCGGGUUGUAAAGUACUUUCAGCGGGGAGGAAGGCGAUAAGGUUCAUAACCUUGUCGAUUGACGUUACCCGCAGAAGAAGCACCGGCUAACUCCGUGCCAGCAGCCGCGGUAAUACGGAGGGUGCAAGCGUUAAUCGGAAUUACUGGGCGUAAAGCGCACGCAGGCGGUCUGUCAAGUCGGAUGUGAAAUCCCCGGGCUCAACCUGGGAACUGCAUUCGAAACUGGCAGGCUAGAGUCUUGUAGAGGGGGUAGAAUUCCAGGUGUAGCGGUGAAAUGCGUAGAGAUCUGGAGGAAUACCGGUGGCGAAGGCGGCCCCCUGGACGAAGACUGACGCUCAGGUGCGAAAGCGUGGGGAGCAAACAGGAUUAGAUACCCCAGUAGUC